ACGGGAAAAGAGCAAUCUGCUAAUAGAUGGGCUUGCGUCUGAUUAGCUAGUUGGUGUGGUAAAGGCAUACCAAGGCAGCGAUCAGUAGCCGGACUGAGAGGUUGAACGGCCACAUUGGGACUGAGAUACGGCCCAGACUCCUACGGGAGGCAGCAGUCGGGAAUAUUGCACAAUGGGGGAAACCCUGAUGCAGCAACGCCGCGUGAAGGAAGAAGGCCCUCGAGUUGUAAACUUCUUUUGUCAGGGACGAAGCAAGUGACGGUACCUGACGAAUAAGCCACGGCUAACUAC
rnacentral:rRNA from 1 species